AAUUAUACUGAAGUUUCUAACACUAACACCUGGAAGCAAAAUCACAGAUCUAUUAAAUCUCAGAUCUAUUAAGUACAUUAUAGAACGUAUAUAUUACCAAUCACUUGUAUGAUAUAAACUUUCCUAAAAACAAUAAGAAUUGGAUGGCACAGAAGUUAUUUUAGUUGAAUUUUCACACAGUAAGAGAUUGCAGAAAGAAGAGAGAACAGCAAAAUAAAUCCCCUGAAGUCCACAACGCUGCCAAAGAGAACAAAUAUGGAGAGAAGAGGGAUGUCUGGCACAAGUCUCAACAGGGAGAAGCUUGUUAAUAAGGAGUCUAGGAUUUCUUCUGUGAUGCAACUAGAAUCUGUACUGGUUCAACCAAAACAAUCAGGAUCCGAAGUGCAUCGAUAGGUCUUAAUUACCCUAAAUAAACUCAUCUGUGCCCUCAGUUGGCCCAGGAGCUAUAUUUAAGAUAAAAUCUAGGCAUUCACUCCCUAUCCAAGCUCUGCUGUAGAUAGGUUUGUGCCAAGACUUGACUCUUGCUUCUGGCUUGUUGUAUGGAUUCAUGGACUGAACAUGAACAUGAUGUUCCACUGAUGGAAACCUUCAUUCUCACCAACCCUUACUGGGAGUUGUGGAACUAUGGCCUUACCAAUGAGGAUGCUACUUCUGAUGGUCCUGUGGUCUGGUAUUUCUUCUGUGGGAAGAAAUGACCUUCUUUCCUUGCUCAUACUGCUUGCUCCCUGACAAACAACACUAAUGUCCUAAUCACCAGGUUUUUAAAGUUUUUGUAAUAUUUUUCUUAAAGCUGGAGUUAGUGGUCCAUUUUGGUAUAAUAAUUACAUUGUGUCUGCAAGUACAAUUCCUUUCUUAGGACAUCAUUGUAUGUUUUACUCACUGGGAAAAAAUAGCAGCUGCAACUGGUGAAACAGAAAUAACCCCAGAAAACUAAAACACAACAGCCAGUUUCUAUUCAGUGAAUGAAGUUGCUGCAGAUAAGUGCUAUCCUGAUUAAUUCCAUUUGGUACUAUCUAUGGUGGCUGAAACAGAAUUAAGUCUAAGUCAGGGUAGUCUUGCAUAGAUUAGACCACUGACCCUUUCCUCUAGAGGAACCAUUGGAAAGUGGUCACCCUACUGUCUGCCUGUGAGUUCAGGGCAAGAUAUUUUCACUCUGCUUAAUCACGUGGAGAAGCAGUAUAGAAAACUUAGCUUUUCAAGUGACAUACUAACCAUUGCCAUUUUACUUUAUCUGUAGCCAUGUCUUUG
rnacentral:lncRNA from 7 species